rnacentral:lncRNA from 1 species
ACUGCGGGGCCUGGACUCCCAGGCGAACCCCUUCCCACCACAGCCAGGCCUGGACUCCCAGGCGAACCCCUUCCCACCGCAGCCUGGCCUGGACUCCCAGGAGCACCACCGCCCACUGCAGCCUGGCCUGGACUCCCAGGAGAACCCCCAUACAUAGCGGCCAGGCCUGGACUCCCAGGUGAACCCCUUCCCUCCGCAGCCAGACCUGGACCCCCAGGAACACCACUGCCCACUGCAGCAUGGCCUGGACUCCCAGGAGCACCUAUGCCAGCUGCAGCAUGGCCUGGAACCCCAGGAAGACCUCCGCCAACUGCAGCCCAUCCUGGACUCCCAGGAGCACAACUGCCCACUGCAGCCAGACCUGGCCUCCCAGGAGAACCCCAUAAAGAGCCAGACCUGGACUCCCGGCGAACCCUUCCCUCCCAAAGGGACCGGACCCCCCCAGGAACCCACCCCCACCCUGCAGCAUGGCCUGGACUCCCAGGAGAACCCCCAUACAUAGCGGCCAGGUCUGGACUCCCAGGAGAACCCUUUCCCACUGCAGCCUGGCCUGGACUCCCAGGAGCACCACCGCCCACUGCAGCCUGGCCUGGACUCCCAGGAGCACCACUGCCCACUGCAGCAUGGCCUGGACCCCCAGGAGGACCCCCAUACAUAGCAGCCAGGCCUGGACCCCCAGGAAGACCUCU